rnacentral:tmRNA from 1 species
GGGGGCGACAGGCUUCGACGGGGACGGAGAAGCAUCGGUUGCGUGUCCGCCGGCCCAAGACGGCGUAAAUACCUUGGGAACGAUAAGUGCGAACGAUAACGCGCUUGCUCUCGCGGCCUGAAUAAAGCCAAGGGAGUCGUUGAAGUGGGGAGCUUGUCGGUGCUCGCCAUGGAGACGUCAUUUGAACCGACUGGCUCGUGCGCAUCGCCAUCCGGCGCGUGAGUAAGACAAAGGAAGGCUAGCGAUGAGGCGAGCCUGCUCGUGGGCGCAACUCUUCGCGAAGCUAAAAUCACGAGCUACGCACGUAGACGCCGCUGUGGACCUUUCUCGGACGCGGGUUCGAUUCCCGCCGCCUCCACCU